AUUGAACGCUGGCGGCGUGCCUAACACAUGCAAGUCGAGCGGUAACAGGUGUAGCAAUACAUGCUGACGAGCGGCGGACGGGUGAGUAAUGUUUGGGAAUCUGCCUAUUAGUGGGGGACAACCCGGGGAAACUCGGGCUAAUACCGCAUACGCUCUACGGAGGAAAGCCGGGGACCGCAAGGCCUGGCGCUAGUAGACGAGCCCAAAUUGGAUUAGCUAGUUGGUGAGGUAACGGCUCACCAAGGCGACGAUCCAUAACUGGUUUGAGAGAACGACCAGUCACACUGGAACUGAGACACGGUCCGGACUCCGACGAGAGGCAGCAGUGGGGAAUAGUGGACAAUGGGCGAAAGCCUGAUCCAGCGACGCCGCGUGGGUGAAGAAGGCCUGCGGGUUGUAAAGCCCUUUCGGUGGGGAUAAAAAGCCUUGGUUUAACACACCAGGGUCUUGAUCUAACCCAAGAAAGAAGCACCGGCUAACUCUGUGCCAGCCGCCGCAGUAA
rnacentral:rRNA from 1 species